AGGAGAACCUUGCGAAAGUAAGACUAAUACCCAAUGACGUCUCUAGAGGACAUCUGAAAGAGAUUAAAGAUUUAUCGGUGAUGGAUGGGGAUGCGUCUGAUUAGCUUGUUGGCGGGGUAACGGCCCACCAAGGCUACGAUCAGUAGGGGUUCUGAGAGGAAGGUCCCCCACAUUGGAACUGAGACACGGUCCAAACUCCUACGGGAGGCAGCAGUGAGGAAUAUUGGUCAAUGGACGAGAGUCUGAACCAGCCAAGUAGCGUGCAGGAUGACGGCCCUAUGGGUUGUAAACUGCUUUUAUAAGGGAAUAAAGUGAGUCUCGUGAGACUUUUUGCAUGUACCUUAUGAAUAAGGACCGGCUAAUUCCGUGCCAGCAGCCGCGGUAAUACGGAAGGUCCGGGCGUUAUCCGGAUUUAUUGGGUUUAAAGGGAGCGUAGGCCGGAGAUUAAGCGUGUUGUGAAAUGUAGAUGCUCAACAUCUGCACUGCAGCGCGAACUGGUUUCCUUGAGUACGCACAAAGUGGGCGGAAUUCGUGGUGUAGCGGUGAAAUGCUUAGAUAUCACGAAGAACUCCGAUUGCGAAGGCAGCUCACUGGAGCGCAACUGACGCUGAAGCUCGAAAGUGCGGGUAUCGAACA
rnacentral:rRNA from 1 species